rnacentral:rRNA from 1 species
UACGAAGGGGGCUAGCGUUGCUCGGAAUUACUGGGCGUAAAGCGCACGUAGGCGGGUUCUUAAGUCGGUGGUGAAAUCCUGGAGCUCAACUCCAGAACUGCCUUCGAAACUGGGAAUCUUGAGUCCGGGAGAGGUGAGUGGAACUGCGAGUGUAGAGGUGAAAUUCGUAGAUAUUCGCAAGAACACCAGUAGCGAAGGCGGCUCACUGGCCCGGUACUGACGCUGAGGUGCGAAAGCGUGGGGAGCAAACAGG